UGCGACGAGUUGACUCAACCAGAUGAUCGUUUCGAUCAUUCCGAUUUUAUCGGCGUGUGGUUGGUUAAUGCAGAGGCACAGAUGUUCACUCAUCAACUACCGGAUUGUAGGCGUGUCGGAUGAAGUUUUUGUGGAGAAA
rnacentral:ncRNA from 1 species